UGGCAUGUAUACCGAGCACCAGCGAAGAGCAAAGAUGGCGGCCACCAUGAACGCAGAAAGUACAAAACAGCCGGUGAUAACACCCACAGAAAAUCGCGAUGCAAUGGCUGCUGGGAUGUUAGAACUAUUGAAACCGGCAGUACAGGAAGUAGAUGAAAGGGUGCGGCUAGUGAGAGAAAGUCAGCUAGAUCUCAGACAGCAGAUUGAAGAACUUGAUGAAGUUUUGAAGCAGCUGGGUCAGGCACGUGAACCUCCCAUUGAGCUUGAUCCCUACGUGAAGAAGCUGAUGAACUCCAAACGCAAGAUAGCCGUCAUCAGCAACAUCGUUCAGAAUGCUCAGGAGAGGGUGCGUAAACUUCAGCAGCGCAUCGGCAAGGAGUCAGGGAAGAAACUGAGCCACUUGUACCCAUCCAGCACCGAUGCCGUUACCCUUCCAGCUGGCAUGGUUGGUGCUACGCUACCUCCCCCCGAGGUCCAACCGGCAGAGAAUACUUAAUCAUAUUGUUGAUUUUAAUGUUUGUUUUCUGAUGCUGUAUAUAUUAUAAAUAAAAAAAAAUUGCCAUUUCUGAAAUCUUGGGUUAAGCUUCGUCUUCUUAAUUGUAGGUCAUAAUUUUAGGUCCCUGCACUGUUACAGAAACACCAGACUCUCUACAUGUAGAACAUGAAUGUUUUUCAUAUUUGUAAACAUUAAAGAGAACACAGUGUUUCUGGGGCCAAGGUUGAAGCCUUAGCUGAAGCUAAGGUUUUAGAAAUGGCAAAUAAGUCUAAACAAGUUGUGUACAAAUGGAAGGUUAAAUUUGGUUUGUUGUCAGUUACUUUGCAAAUUGUGGGCACAGUUUAUGAAGCUGCUAUGUGCCCUUCUAAAUUCAGGACGAGCUCUGGAUACGUUGCGGGUAGAAUCAUUCACUUUGUUCGGAAGAAGCUCUGCAUUUGUCCCGGACAUGUUUCUGGAAUUUUUCAUCAGCGACUGCUUGACUCACCAAUACUUAUGUACAUGUAACUUCAUUGUGGGAAGAUUGGGGAGUUGUUCAGAAUCUUGCAACUUAUACCUGAUACAAUGCCUGCAACUUGUCCUGAAUAUGAAUUGAGACGAGUCCCAAGUAUGGAUAUCCGCUUAGCACAGAAGAUGACAUGCUUAGCAUCUUAUCUUUAACUAGGUUUUACAGGCGCUUUACAUUCCUCUGAAUGGGCAAAAACAAAUUGACUGCAAUGGUACAAAUGAAAACAAAAACAACACAAAAGACUCAUCUGAGUUAUUCAAAUCAAUAGCAUCACAUUUCUUUAAUUUUUUUAGAAGUUUAAAGUAAAAAAAGGUAAAUAUGUUUUAAAAUAAAUCAUCUUGGUUUCAUCUCUCAUUUGUUUUAUAAUUUAUAUCGUAUAUUUGUUUACAGAGUUCCUCUAUCUGUAAAGGAAAUUGUUGAUUUUUUGUUUUGGUUUAAAAUAUGUAUACUAUUUUUAAAGUGCAAUAACAUGCUAAAAUAAAAUGAAUGAAACUAAAA
rnacentral:misc_RNA from 1 species